rnacentral:rRNA from 1 species
UACGUAGGGUGCGAGCGUUAAUCGGAAUUACUGGGCGUAAAGCGUGCGCAGGCGGUUCGUUGUGUCGGCGGUGAAAGCCCCGGGCUCAACCUGGGAAUGGCCGUUGAAACUGGCGAACUGGAGUGUGGCAGAGGGGGGUGGAAUUCCGCGUGUAGCAGUGAAAUGCGUAGAGAUGCGGAGGAACACCGAUGGCGAAGGCAGCCCCCUGGGCUAACACUGACGCUCAGGCACGAAAGCGUGGGGAGCAAACAGGG